GUUUUGCUGGCAAUUUGGGGGGGAAAGGAGUUUUACCAUUGUUGUUCAUUUUUCUGUCUUGUUUUGUUUUUGCUUUAGGGCUUCUGAGCUAAUAGUGUAUAUGCUUAGAGACCCUGAAGGCCAGUACAUGGAUUAGACCUGCCUGAGAGUGAAUCCAACACAGAAGAUAGUAGAAGCAGUGGAGGAAGAGGUCCAGGUCCUGCCCAUGCCAGAAUCCAGUUAAAUUCCCCUGGGUUCUACAGUGAUAAACCGAUGAGUAAUAGUCUUCACCCUUCACUCCGAGUCCUGACUUAUAAACGACUUAAUCAAGAAGUGUUGAUUACCCGCCCAUGCUAGGUUUAAAGAUGCAGCAAUGAACAUGCUCCAUAAAUGUUUGCAUAUUUUAUUUGAAUGACCUUGGAAUUGGAAAGUUACAGUUUUAGCCUCUAAUAAUCUUUAAUGUAGACACCUAUAAAUGAACAGUUGCCAGCUUCCUCAAAAACAGUCAAAUAUUCAUUUAAUACGUUACAAAUGGGCUUCCCUGGUGACUCAGAUCAUAAAGAAUCCACCUGCAAUGCAGGAGACCAGGGUUCAGUCUCUGGGUUGGGAAGAUCCCCUGGAGAAGGGCAUGGCAACCUACUCCAAAAUUCUUGCCUGGAGAAUCCCCAUGGACAGAGGAGCCUGGUGGGCUGCAGUCCAUAGCGUUGCAAAGAGUCAGACACGACUGAAGCAACUUAGCAUGCAUGCACACACAUUACAAAUAGUGAACCAACACAUUGAUAUCCUGGUACAGAAUGUAAAGAAGAGACCAUCGCUACUGUGGAGUCGUUCACUGGGUCAUCUGAUAGAAAAGAACAUUAUCACAGGGAAAGCCCUCGAGCUCCUAAAACCAACAAUGUGCACAAGCAAGACAUGUAGUUCAGAGACAGGAGAGGCUGGACUAGGUCCUAAGAAGGUUCUGGACUAAGUGAAUGCUCACAUCCAGGUUCAAUGUUUCUUUGCUAUGAGCCUAUAAACACACCAAAUGGGCAGUUUUGAAAAGGAGAAUGUUCAUAAAUCACAGGAACAGGAAACGGACCACUAGGG
ensembl:lncRNA